rnacentral:rRNA from 1 species
AGUUCGGAUUGCAGGCUGAAACCCGCCUGUAUGAAGUUGGAAUCGCUAGUAAUCGCGGAUCAGCAUGCCGCGGUGAAUACGUUCCCGGGCCUUGUACACACCGCCCGUCACACCAUGAGAGUCGGGAACACCCGAAGUCCGUAGCCUAACCGCAAGGGGGGCGCGGCCGAAGGUGGGUUCGAUAAUUGGGGUGAAGUCGUAACAAGGUAGC